CUCCUACGGGAGGCAGCAGUGGGGAAUCUUGCACAAUGGGGGAAACCCUGAUGCAGCGACGCCGCGUGAGCGAUGAAGCCCUUCGGGGUGUAAAGCUCUUUCGGCAGGAACGAUCAUGACGGUACCUGAAGAAGAAGCUGCGGCUAACUACGUGCCAGCAGCCGCGGUAAUACGUAGGCAGCAAGCGUUGUUCGGAGUUACUGGGCGUAAAGAGUGUGUAGGCGGUGUUCUAAGUUCGGUGUGAAAUCUCCUGGCUUAACUGGGAGGGUGCGCCGGAAACUGGAGUGCUCGAGCGUGGGAGAGGAAAGCGGAAUUCCUGGUGUAGCGGUGAAAUGCGUAGAUAUCAGGAGGAACACCUGCGGUGUAGACGGCUUCCUGGACCAUUGCUGACGCUGAGACACGAAAGCGUGGGUAGCAAACAGGAUUAGAUACCCUGGUAGUCCACGCCCUAAACGAUGCAUACUUGGUGUCGGCCAUUCAGUUGGUCGGUGCCGGAGCUAACGCGUUAAGUAUGCCGCCUGGGGAGUACGGUCGCAAGGCUGAAACUCANAGGAAUUGACGG
rnacentral:rRNA from 1 species